rnacentral:ncRNA from 5 species
GAUCUUGGUGGUAGUAGCAAAUA